GCCAUUUUCAAAUCUGCUCUCAGGUAUUAUUUCAAUGGCAUUAGCAUUCAAAUACAUUUCUUUAAGAUAAAUGAAUUCAGCCUAAGAAAGAUGAAAAAUUAAAAAAAAGAACAACUCCAAUUCUAGAACAUGCUCCUCUGUAGAUUUAAGAUUAGCUGACAUCAAUGUGCUCCAUCAGUUGCUGGAAGCAAAUUGGUCAAAUAGCAUUUGAUUAACAUUGUGAGAUGGCAAACUCUCUUUUAAUGACUCUGAUUAUGUAUUCACAGGCUAUACGCAUGUCCUGCUUUACCGGCCUACAGAUUACAUGUGUAACGUAUAAUCAAUCACACUAUGUGGAGUGUGCACAUAUCCCUCCAUCUUUUAUUAACCCUUAUUUCUCUCCUGAAGACAUUUUCAUAUAUCUCAACAUGUGUCAUCAAGUCAAAAGAGAAAGGAUGAAUGCACUAAAUGAAUGUUAUUACAUGUACUGCUAAAAAUAAUCACCAAAUCAUAAAUGGUAAAAAGAAAAAAGAAGAAGAAAACCAAACAGACGCAACAAAAUACCCUCCUAUCCAAAGAAGUUAUAUCUCUUGGUGGCAUUUCAAUUAAAACAAAAUCUACCCAAGAGAACCAGAGAGUAUUCUUACAGGAAUUUAGAAACACCCUCUUGCCUGAGGACAUAUCAUCUGAUACUGAGGAUGGAGUGCUCAACCUUAGAAUAUCUCCAACAUUAACCUUGCAUGAACUCAGUCACAAGACGGGAGCUCAUAGUCCUUUACACACCUUGGAACCACUCCAGCAAGGAGAAGAGUCACCCUUCCAGGAGAAAAACAAUAAAUAUCUUCAGUCCCUUUUACCUUCAAAGAGAGACUACUGUAUUGGUUAAGAAUAUAAACUUCGAAUUCAUGAACUGGAUUCAAAUGGUGGUUCUACCAUUUUUAGGGUGGAACUUUGGACAACUCACUUCUUGAGGUUCUUUCCUCAUUUGUCAUAUAGGAUUAAUAAUAUUUAGUUCUUACCCUGAAGACUAAGUGGUAUUAAGAAUGAAAAAAUCUGAGUUGAAUGCUUGGACAUUAUAGGCAUUAAAUAAUUGUGUUUUUUUUGUCCUGGGAAGCAGAGCCGGAGUUGGAGAUUCUUGGUCAGGAGAUUUAUUGGUUGAGUAUACUCAGGAGGACAAUGAGAAAAUCGGGAGGGGACAAAGGGAACACGUUUGCAGAAUGUGGCCUUGGCUGGGAAGGUUUCCCAGGAAGGUUUGCAGCUAAAAUUACAUUAGUUAGCCCCUCUUAGAAGGGUGUGGAGGUGUAGCCUUUCCAACAUGGUAACUUACAUUUGGCAAAGGGAAAUUCUCCAGAGAAGAUUGCAUCUUUGAAUUGUCAUAACACUAACAGCAAGGAGAGAGAGGUGCACCUGUUGGUAAAGGGGAUCUGAAUGGGACACCCAAAGUGCCCACUAGAGCUUGCCGCUGUCACUGCUCAGAUCCGCUCUCUUCUUAUGCCAAAUACACCUACUGAAGCACAGGAUUCUAAGUGGUUACAAUUUCUGGGAAAAUUUCAAAGAGGGGAGGGUUAGCUGGACAAAUUAGAACUCCAGCUGCUGCUUUUGUUCCCAAUGCUGUAAUUCAGUGGUUCUCAAUUGGGGGAGAUUUGACAAGGUCUGGAGACAUUUUCCAUCACCAUAUCUGCAGGUGCUAUGUAGGCAUAAUGUCCUACAAUGCACAGAACAGCCCCCAUAGCAAAAAAUUAUUCAGUGCAAAGUGUUAAGAGUGCUGAGGUUAAGAAACGCUGCCGUCACUGAUAUGCGUCAUUUCAUUGAUUCUCCACCUGUGCUAGAUUCUCCUUCCCUCAGCGAGCAUAUACAUAUGCUGGUCCAAGUGGCUGAUCUAGUGGGUUAACAGAGACUUACAUCCCAGAGUGGUCUAGGCCCUAUUUUGGUAUGUUCUGUCAGAUUUUAGUUUCAGUACAAGCACAUUUAGUUACAUUUGGAUAUGGAAGUAUGGAAAAAUGUUCAAGUGAAUCACUUGAGUACAAAACAUAAUCCUCAACUUGCUACCAAGAGGCUGAGUGAUCUUCUCAUGGGACAGUAUGGUUCUGGGGCUCAGUCUUAGUCUAUGUUGCUGACAGGUCAGACAUUCAGCUGUUGCAGUAGCUAGACUACCAUGAGUGAGAGGAAGCAUAUGGUAUAGGGCCCAUAUAUAGCCCUGUGGAGUAUUGCUGGGCUUAUCUGACCUUUUAUUUGAUGGGUCAUGAUGGUAACAUCCGGCUACUUGGUUAUCUGCUAUCAAAUGGUUAGAAGCUCAGUUUCUACCGUGACCUAGUAGCAAUAUAGGAACUGGUUGUUUUGUUUUCUUGUAAGAGCCUUAUUUCUAUAACUCACAUACUUUAAUUCACUCUUUUGAAGUGUAUAAUUUAGUGUUUUUUUAGUUCAUUCACAGAGUUUGGCAACCAUCACAACUAUCUCAUUUACAGCAUUAUUAUCAUCACCAAAGAAAACCUAAUACCCAUUAGCAGUCUCUCCCAUUCCCUCCAAUUACCGCAGUUUUAGGCAACCAUUAAUUUAUUUUCUGUCUCCAUGGAUUUGCUUAUUUUAGAAGCUUCAGAAAAUUAGAAUCAAAUAAUAUGUGGCCUGUGUGUCUGGCUUCUUUCACCAAGCGUAAAGUUUUCAAGGUUUAUUCAUACUGUAGCAGGUAUUGGUACUUUAUUCCUUUUUAUUUACAAUAAAUACAUUUUAGUUGUGUAGAUAUACA
ensembl:lncRNA